CUCUUGCUCAUAAACUGCUGCAGUAGCCUCUUCUGUGCUUCUACCCUCAUCUCCACCCAAUCCAUUUCCCACAUACAUAGCGCCUUAAUACCCUUAUUAUCCUUAAAAAAAAAAAUCAGAUCAUUGCCACUUUAAGCUCCAUAGGUUUAAACCUGCUACCCUAGCCUAUAAGGCCCUGAAGGGUCUGCCUCCUUAUUUUAUAGCCAUGUUCUGUGAGCAGUGUAGAACUUACCAUGUGCCAGUCACUG
rnacentral:lncRNA from 1 species